rnacentral:lncRNA from 1 species
AGAUGCUGCCAGUGUAGCGGCCAGGCAGAGUUGUGGUCUUAGCGUUGCUCUGCAGUGGCUUCUGUGCGUCUCUCGUCUCGUGUCCGGAGCUCUCCAGAGCUGGGAGAAGAUCCGGGCGGCUCCGCUGCUCCCUGUUCCCGGCGUCCGCCCCGCUUGAGGAGGGCCGGCCCCUGGGAGCCGCGCGUGCACGUCCUCUUGGUCGUCCUCCCGGGGCCGGGCGCGGGGACAGCCGGAGCUGAGGCGUCAGGGACGUCCUGAAGACUGCGCUUACAAGGGUGCUUGGAGAGGAGUAGUUCAAAAUGUCAAAAAUUAGGAGAAAGGUCACAGUGGAAAACACCAAGACCAUAUCUGAGAGUACAUCCCGAAGACCUAGCGUAUUUGAGAGGCUUGGCCCCAGCACUGGAAGCACAACAGAGACACAGUGUCGUAACUGGCUGAAGACUGGCAGCUGCCUCUAUGGAAACACAUGUAGGUUCAUACAUGGCCCUUCACCUCGUGGGAAAGGCUACAGCAGCAAUUACAGAAGGUCACCAGAAAGACCCACAGGUGACCUCAG